CCUACGAGUGGCAGCAGUGAGGAAUAUUGGUCAAUGGACGAAAGUCUGAACCAGCCAAGCCGCGUGAAGGAUGACGGUCCUAUGGGUUGUACACUUCUUUUAUAAAGGAAUAAAACGGGGCACGUGUGCCUUUUUGCAUUUACUUUACGACCAAGGAUCGGCUAAAUCCGUGCCAGGAGCGCCGGUAAUACGGAGGGUCCGAGCUUUAUCCGGAUUUAUUGGGUUUAAAGUGAACGUAGAUGGUGUGUUAAGUCAGUUGUGAAAGUUUUCGGUUCAACCGUAGAAUUGCAAUUGAUACUGGCAGUCUAGAGUGCAGUUGAGGUAAGUGGAAUUCGUGGUGUAGCGGUGAAAUGCUUAGAUAUCUCGAAGAACCCCGAUUGCGAAGGCAGCUUACUAGACUGUGACUGACAUUGAUGCGCGAAAGUGUGGGUAUCAAACAGGAUUAGAUACCCCUGUAGUC
rnacentral:rRNA from 1 species